UACGUAGGGGGCAUGCGUUGUCCGGAAUUAUUGGGCGUAAAGAGCGUGUAGGCGGCCAGAUAAGUCCGCUGUGAAAUCUCGAGGCUCAACUUCGAGCUGUCGGUGGAAACUAUCUGGCUAGAGUCCGGAAGAGGAGAAUGGAAUUCCUGGUGUAGCGGUGAAAUGCGCAGAUAUCAGGAAGAACACCCGUGGCGAAGGCGGUUCUCUGGGACGGUACUGACGCUGAGACGCGAAAGCGUGGGGAGCGAACAGG
rnacentral:rRNA from 1 species